UACGAAGGGGGCUAGCGUUGCUCGGAAUCACUGGGCGUAAAGGGCGCGUAGGCGGCUUAUCAAGUCAGGGGUGAAAGCCCGUGGCUCAACCACGGAAUGGCCUUCGAUACUGGUAGGCUUGAGACCGGAAGAGGACAGCGGAACUGCGAGUGUAGAGGUGAAAUGCGUAGAUAUUGGGAGGAACACCAGUGGCGAAGGCGGCUCACUGGACCGGAACUGACGCUGAGGCGCGAAAGCGUGGGGAGCAAACAGG
rnacentral:rRNA from 1 species